CAAUUUUUGUGUGUAAAAUGUUUAAAAUAUUUCUUUUAUGUAGGAGGACAUAUUAACAAAAAAGAAAUUUUCAGAAGAAAUCUCAGAUUUAUGAGACACAGCCUCAUAAGAGUGGAAGUCACAGCUAUGUUAAAAACAGUGCAAUAUAGCAGCUGGAAAUGAGGAGGAAAUCUGCCAUCCUGUAACCAGUCAGCUCACCCUGGGACAACAUCAAGA
rnacentral:lncRNA from 12 species